UUGACAACCAUGCUGUAAUACUGAAC
rnacentral:piRNA from 1 species